rnacentral:rRNA from 2 species
GAGUGGCGGACGGGUGAGUAACACGUGGGUAACCUGCCCUUAAGUGGGGGAUAACAUUUGGAAACAGAUGCUAAUACCGCAUAGAUCCAAGAACCGCAUGGUUCUUGGCUGAAAGAUGGCGUAAGCUAUCGCUUUUGGAUGGACCCGCGGCGUAUUAGCUAGUUGGUGAGGUAAUGGCUCACCAAGGCGAUGAUACGUAGCCGAACUGAGAGGUUGAUCGGCCACAUUGGGACUGAGACACGGCCCAAACUCCUACGGGAGGCAGCAGUAGGGAAUCUUCCACAAUGGACGCAAGUCUGAUGGAGCAACGCCGCGUGAGUG